CACCAAGCAACGGCUGUGCAAUUCAAGCAAAUGUUUUGGCUUUUAAGUGACUACUUCUGAAAGCCUAAAGGAGAUGACACUUAAAUGGCUAUCUAAGUGCAGAUGAUGAAAGCCAGCCUUGUCAAACUUAAAGAAUGUUCUUUCCCAUGCCAUACAACAAACGGUGCGAGAACUCGAACCAAGAGCCAGAAAAAGUGGUAGAGAGAAAUUAACUGCCCCUGUGAAUCAGCAAAAAACCAAGGGAUGGGACCCACGACAGCUAGUCUCCCUGCUUUAACCCACACAUCUGGCACACCACUGGGAAAUGGUUAUUUGUUCACUACAAGGAAGAUGACCUUUAACUUCA